rnacentral:rRNA from 1 species
CACGUAGGGCGCAAGCGUUGUCCGGAAUUAUUGGGCGUAAAGAGCUCGUAGGCGGACUGUCACGUCCGCUGUGAAAAGCUAGGGCUUAACCCUGGCCUUGCAGUGGAUACGGGCAGACUAGAGGUAGGUAGGGGAGAAUGGAAUUCCCGGUGUAGCGGUGAAAUGCGCAGAUAUCGGGAGGAACACCGGUGGCGAAGGCGGGUCUCUGGACAGUUCCUGACACUGAGGCACGAAGGCCAGGGGAGACGAAACGGG